rnacentral:rRNA from 1 species
CCAGUGGCACUGCCGGGUAGCUAUGUGCGGACGGGAUAACCGCUGAAGGCAUCUAAGCGGGAAGCCCCCUUCAAGAUGAGAUCUCCCCGAGGCCUUGAGCCUCCUGAAGGGCCCAGCGAGACCAGCUGGUGGAUAGGCCGGGUGUGGAAGCGCUGCAAGGCGUUGAGCUAACCGGUACUAAUGGCCCGUGAGGCUUGACCAU